rnacentral:rRNA from 1 species
AGCAGCCGCGGUAAUUCCAGCUCCAAUAGCGUAUAUUAAAGUUGUUGCAGUUAAAAAGCUCGUAGUUGAAUUUCGGGGUUAGUAGGUUGGUCAUGCCUCUGGUAUGUACUGGUCUCACUGAUUCCUCCUUCCUGAUGAACCUUAAUGCCAUUAAUUUGGUGUUUUGGGGAAUUUGGACUGUUACUUUGAAAAAUUAGAGUGUUUAAAGUAAGCUAACGCUUGAAUACAUUAGCAUGGAAUAAUGAAAUAGGACGUUCGAUCCUAUUUUGUUGGUUUCUAGGAUUGACGUAAUGAUUAAUAGGAUAGUUGGGGGCAUUAGUAUUCAAUUGUCAGAGGUGAAAUUCUUGGAUUUAUUGAAGACUAACUACUGCGAAAGCAUUUGCCAAGGAUGUUUUCAUUAAUCAAGAACGAAAGUUAGGGGAUCGAAGACGAUCAGAUACCGUCGUAGUCUUAACCAUAAACUAUGCCGACUAAGGGAUCGGAUGAUGUUAAUUUUUAAUG